CCCUCGGAAGCCUCCAGGGAACCCCUCCGGACAACCACAGACCCCACGCGUGCGGGCGCGCCUCGGGGCGUCCCCGGCAGCGACCCAGCCCACGCCCUUCCCGGUGGCCCAGCGCCCGGUGCCUCGCGGGGGGCGCCCAGCGGGUCCGGGGGGGCGAGGCCGGGCGGGGCGGCGGCGCGGGUCCGAGCGCCGAGGCGCGGGCGGAGCAUGUGACCGCGCGGGGCCGGACGCGCAGUGCCGCGCGGCGGCGGCGGCGGGGAGCGCAAUGGAGGCCGCGGCCGCCUGAGAGGCGGGGGCGCUGCCGGGGCUGCUGCCGAGGCUGCCGGGGCCGGGGCCGCGGGCUGGACACCGCGUCCGCCGCCCGCGGGGACCGCUCGUCGCCGCGCGCCCCCCGCGCCGCCAGCCGGGCGCCGGCGGGGACCGCAGUAGGGUGAAACUUCCAGACCCUGCCCUUGGCAGAUCGUAUUUCAUCUAACAUCUCUAAAUACGUCUGCAUUGUUUAACGGGUGGAGACCGUGAGGAUUCCUGAUUGAACUAUGAGCUGAACUAUGAGCGCAUAGGACUCAUCUCCACCUAUCAGCUUCCUGUGGACUUCAUGGUGCAAGCCCUACCGACUGUAGCUCCCCUCUCUGACCAGGGUCUUUGUGUCUUUCAGCCACGCCAUUUGCUCAUAGUCAUAAUCUUUCUUUUUUGCCUUCAUUGUAAUUUACCCCUUCCCGAUUUUCCAGUGUAUCAGUGUCCACUGCUCGUUUUACCUGCUCCCAUGCCCAGCCUAGGCUCCGUGAGCACUCAUUUCCAUAAUCAUUGGUGCCUCUCCAGGACCCACCCAACACCCAGGGCUAUUCCACACCCUGCACAUCCCUGUGACUUGUCCUGUUACACGUUUAUAUUGUCUGUCCUUCACUGGACCAUCAUUAUUGCCAGGAUUAAAAGGUUUCCAAUAAAAUACUAUUUAAAAGUUA